rnacentral:rRNA from 1 species
GACGAACGCUGGCGGCGUGCUUAACACAUGCAAGUCGAACGGAAAGGCCCUGCUUUUGUGGGGUGCUCGAGUGGCGAACGGGUGAGUAACACGUGAGUAACCUGCCCUUGACUUUGGGAUAACUUCAGGAAACUGGGGCUAAUACCGGAUAGGAGCUCCUGCUGCAUGGUGGGGGUUGGAAAGUUUCGGCGGUUGGGGAUGGACUCGCGGCUGAUCAGCUUGUUGGUGGGGUAGUGGUUUACCCAGGCUUUGACGGGUAGCCGGCCUGGGAGGGUGCCCGGCGACAUUGGGACUGAGAUACGGCCCAGACUCCUAGGGGAGGCAGCAGUGGGGAAUAUUGAACAAUGGGCGGAAGCCUGAGGCAGCGACGCCGCGGGCGGGAUGACGGCCUUCGGGUUGUAAACCGCUUUCGCCUGUGACGAAGCGUGAGUGACGGUAAUGGGUAAAGAAGCACCGGCUAACUACGUG